UACGGAGGGGGCGAGCGUUAUUCGGAAUUAUUGGGCGUAAAGGGCGCGUAGGCGGCCCGGUAAGUCAAAGGUGAAAUCCCUCGGCUCAACUGAGGAACUGCCUUUGAAACUGUCGGGCUUGAGGCCGGGAGGGGGUAGCGGAAUUCCCAGUGUAGCGGUGAAAUGCGCAGAUAUCGGGAGGAACACCGGUGGCGAAGGCGAUUCUCUGGGCCUGACCUGACGCUGAGGAGCGAAAGCGUGGGGAGCGAACAGG
rnacentral:rRNA from 1 species